GAGUUCAGAAUGUAGUAGUGGAGAAGUUCGCAUGGAAGGCAGCUGGAUAAAGAUGGAUAGAGCUGCAGUAGCAUGUGACAGACUCAGGAGGGCAGUGUUACUUCAGAGUUUAGAUCCACGGCACUCCUCUUCAGCCACUAGUCACCAUUGUCAUGGCGCUGGCUCUUGGGUUGCUGCGGGAGAUCUCCGCGGCAACACAGCAGCGAGAAGCUCGUUGACUAUCUCCUUUCUGAUCUCAUCAGUGAGACUCUGCUUAAUCUGAGAACGAGAAAGGGGGGAGAAAAAAAAAACAAAACAAAAAAAAACACAUGACAAUGCAGCAAACGGCAGCAGA